rnacentral:rRNA from 1 species
AACGAACGCUGGCGGCAGGCUUAACACAUGCAAGUCGAGCGCCCCGCAAGGGGAGCGGCAGACGGGUGAGUAACGCGUGGGAAUCUACCCAUCUCUACGGAAUAACACAUGGAAACGUGUGCUAAUACCGUAUACGUCCUUCGGGAGAAAGAUUUAUCGGAGAUGGAUGAGCCCGCGUUGGAUUAGCUAGUGGGUGGGGUAAAGGCCUACCAAGGCGACGAUCCAUAGCUGGUCUGAGAGGAUGAUCAGCCACACUGGGACUGAGACACGGCCCAGACUCCUACGGGAGGCAGCAGUGGGGAAUAUUGGACAAUGGGCGCAAGCCUGAUCCAGCCAUGCCGCGUGAGUGAUGAAGGCCCUAGGGUUGUAAAGCUCUUUCACCGGUGAAGAUAAUGACGGUAACCGGAGAAGAAGCCCCGGCUAACUUCGUGCCAGCCGCCGCCGUGAUAC